UACAGAGGUCUCAAGCGUUGUUCGGAUUCAUUGGGUCGUAAAGGGUGCGUAGGCGGCGCGGUAAGUCGGGUGUGAAAUCUCGGAGCUUAACUCCGAAACUGCAUUCGAUACUGCCGUGCUUGAGGACUGGAGAGGAGACUGGAAUUUACGGUGUAGCGGUGAAAUGCGUAGAUAUCGUAAGGAAGACCAGUGGCGAAGGCGGGUCUCUGGACAGUUCCUGACGCUGAGGCACGAAGGCCAGGGGAGCAAACGGG
rnacentral:rRNA from 1 species